rnacentral:rRNA from 1 species
GAUGAACGCUGGCGGCGUGCCUAAUACAUGCAAGUCGAGCGAACAGAUGAGGAGCUUGCUCCUCUGACGUUAGCGGCGGACGGGUGAGUAACACGUGGAUAACCUACCUAUAAGACUGGGAUAACUUCGGGAAACCGGAGCUAAUACCGGAUAAUAUAUUGAACCGCAUGGUUCAAUAGUGAAAGACGGUUUUGCUGUCACUUAUAGAUGGAUCCGCGCCGCAUUAGCUAGUUGGUAAGGUAACGGCUUACCAAGGCGACGAUGCGUAGCCGACCUGAGAGGGUGGUCGGCCACACUGGAACUGAGACACGGUCCAGACUCCUACGGGGGGCAGCCGUAGGGAAUCUUCCGCAAUGGGCGAAAGCCUUACGGAGCAACGCCGCGUGAGUGAUGAAGGUCUUCGGAUCGUAAAACUCUGUUAUUAGGGAAGAACAAAUGUGUAAGUAACUAUGCACGUCUUGACGGUACCUAAUCAGAAAGCCACGGCUAACUACGUG